UGCAAUUUGUUUCUACCGUGA
rnacentral:piRNA from 1 species